UACAUGGGGUGCAAACGUUGCUCGGAAUCAUUGGGCGUAAAGCGCGCGUAGGCGGUUGCUUAAGUCGGAUGUGAAAGCCCUCGGCUUAACUGAGGAAGUGCAUCCGAAACUGAGCAGCUAGAGUACGAAAGAGGGUCGCGGAAUUCCCGGUGUAGAGGUGAAAUUCGUAGAUAUCGGGAGGAACACCGGUGGCGAAGGCGGCGACCUGGGUCGAGACUGACGCUGAGGCGACGAAAGCGUGGGGAGCAAACAG
rnacentral:rRNA from 1 species